rnacentral:rRNA from 1 species
GACGAACGCUGGCGGCGUGCCUAAUACAUGCAAGUCGAGCGGACUUUCCGGAAUGCUUGCUCUCCGAUGGUUGAGCGGCAGGCGUGAGAAACACACGGAUGCCACCUGCACAUAACACCGGGAUCACAUUCGGAAACGAGUGCAAAUCCCGGAUUAACGGACCCCUCACAGUUGGAAAGCGGAAGACGGGGUGGAUGCUGCCUAUAGAUGGUUCGGCGGCGCAUUAGCUGGUUGGUGGGGUAACGGCUUACCAAGGCGACGAUGCGUAGCCGACCUGAGAGGGUGAUCGGCCACACUGGGACUGAGACACGGUCCAGACUCCUACGGGAGGCAGCAGUAGGGAAUCUUCCGCAAUGGACGCAAGUCUGACGGAGCAACGCCGCGUGAGUGAGGAAGGCCUUCGGGUCGUAAAGCUCUGUUGCCAGGGAAGAACGGGUAGGUGAGUAACUGUCCUUGCCAUGACGGUACCUGAGAAGAAAGCCCCGGCUAACUACGUG